CUCCAGGCAGCCCCUCAGACUCUCGCCCGCCUGCGAGGGGUCUGAGGCGUAGGAGGAAAUCCCGGGCCCUGAAAUGGUGCCCGGCACAAGGUGCAGGCCAAAGUUAGGGUCCGAAUGGUGACUCCUGAUGCGAACACACCCUGAGGCUUGCAACCCAUGGCUGCGGCCUUGCUUGUGUCACUGAAGACCUGAGAUCAGCGUGGACCCCCUGGUGUGCCCUACGCCUGUGCAGUGUCUGCAGGCCCGCACGACCUCCAGCCCUGUCCCCUGCUGUCCACGGAGCUGCGGGCCUGGCCAUUGGCACCCCACAGUCCCCCAGGUCCGCCCAGGAACUGCCCGCUGACCUUCCACCUGGCAGGCUAGAGCCUGGCUAACCACGCCUGUGUCCUUCUCCUUGUCCGCUGGCCACUGGUAGCAGGAUGCUGGUCGUCUCUACCAGGAUAAGGACAAGCACAGUGAGGCCCGAGGCUGUGGCCACCCCCAGGAGGACCAUGAAGAUCCACUCCUUCCAGGACAGCCCCAUGGUGGGCGCAGGCACCUGUGGGCCAAUGGGGCAGCAGUAGGCAGCAAGACUCCAACCCUACCCACCCAGUUUCCGUCGGUCCUGCCACAGGUCUGAGGAUAGCCCACAGGGUCUAGGAUAGCCCUUUCCAAAGCCACUGUCAGGGCUGUGGUGGCCCCUGAGGAACCCACAGGAAGGACCGGAGGCCCCACCCCUGUGCUACGGGGCACCCCACUCUCCUCCCCCAGGCCUCCUCUGCCCUCAAGACUCAGGGCUCACCCAGCCUCGCCCAGGGCAGCCUUGAAAGUCUCCACCCUGAAUCUGAGACUUUCUCAUUGGCCCCAGAGGGCCCGGGCAGCUGACCAGGCAGACUGCAUGCUAUUCCUGGGCCUGGGCACCCACACCUUCUGCACAGUUCAGGGCUCACCCCCAACCACUCCAACCUGCUGCAGAGGGGCGCUGCUCCCCCGCCCCACACCUGGAACCAGCUGCCCGCUGGACCCUGCAGCCUAGGACAGCCCAGCUGGAAAUGCUCCGAGCCCCGGCACACUGAUACCUGAGACUUUUAUCCUACUGCCUGUCCCCCCAAGAAUGCAGACACCGUCAUACGUGUCACCAAAUCGAGGGCAGGCCUGCUCCAAGGAGGAAAAGUGGAGGCAGGGAGGACAGGCUACCUGUCCAGGUGGCAGCACUCAAACCCCCUCAGGAGAAACGGCGUAGGAAGCACCAGGGACACAGGGACCCCCAAGAAAUGAAGCCACUGAAGACCCCUCAGUCCCAGCCCCAGGAAGGUGGGGGAGGAGCACAGAGCAGAUCCCCAGCUUGGGAUAAGAGUACCUUGAGCAGGAGUGUCCCCAGAGCAGGACAGUCCCCUCGUCAGGACAGGACAGUCCCAAAACCAGGAGGGCCCUCAGACCAGGAAAGUCCCCAGAGCAGGAGAGUCCCAACCCAGGCCACCCUCUGGGCGCACUCACCUGGCAGCUGACCACACAGGGCUAGGGCUGCUGCACCCAGGUGUGCACCUGCUAUGCUGUCCUCAGUCUCCACCCACCAGGACCUGGAGGUGGCGGUCACAUCGGCCCAAGACUACAGCUCUGAGGACAGAGAUUGGGGGCUGCCCCUCUGCCUGAAUCACCCAAGCGUCCUCCUGCUCAAGCACAGUGCCAGCGAGCCACAGUCUGGGAGUCUGGCGCCCCCUGCUGGCCGUCCACACUCAGUCGCCGGCCUCUUGCGGGCUGCAGCGGUUUCGAGAUCCCUUUCUCAGUGCUUGGCUGUCCCUCCUGUGGACAGAAGACCCUGUCCGAGCAGGCCUGCUGUGAGCCUUACCCGGGAAGCUGCUGGGAUGGCUCCCACCUGUACGGAGGAGGGCCCCAACGGGCUGAGGCUUCAGCCAGAUGCAAACUUGGGCAACCCGCCUUCUACCAGCAGGGCCCGAUCCAUGGCACCUCAGCUGACGUCUGUCAGCUCGUGCUUUCAGCCCACCUGACCACGUGGCCUCUCUGUGGAUUUAAACUGUGUUUCCCAAAGGAUCGGUGAUGUGAAACCUCUGUCAUGCAUGCAUGCAUGUGUCGUAUCUCACCCCUCCCUAGACUGGGGAUUGAACCC